UACGAAGGGGGCUAGCGUUGCUCGGAAUCACUGGGCGUAAAGCGCACGUAGGCGGACUUUUAAGUCGGAGGUGAAAUCCUGGAGCUCAACUCCAGAACUGCCUUUGAUACUGAAGAUCUUGAGUUCGGGAGAGGUGAGUGGAACUGCGAGUGUAGAGGUGAAAUUCGUAGAUAUUCGCAAGAACACCAGUGGCGAAGGCGGCUCACUGGCCCGAUACUGACGCUGAGGCACGAAAGCGUGGGGAGCAAACAGG
rnacentral:rRNA from 1 species